rnacentral:rRNA from 1 species
UGGGGAAUUUUCCGCAAUGGGCGCAAGCCUGACGGAGCAAGACCGCGUGCGGGAGGACGGCCUAUUGGUUGUAAACCGCUUUUGAUAGGGAAGAAGCUCUGACGGUACCUAUCGAAUCAGCAUCGGCUAACUCCGGGCACGCAGCCGCGGUAAUACGGAGGAUGCAAGCGUUAUCCGGCAUUAUUGGGCGUAAAGCGUCCGUAGGUGGUUGUUCAAGGCUGCUGUUAAAGCGUGCGGCUUACCCGCAUA